rnacentral:rRNA from 1 species
UACGUAGGGUGCGAGCGUUAAUCGGAAUUACUGGGCGUAAAGCGUGCGCAGGCGGUUUUAUAAGACAGAUGUGAAAUCCCCGGGCUUAACCUGGGAACUGCGUUUGUGACUGUAAGACUAGAGUGUAGCAGAGGGGGGUGGAAUUCCACGUGUAGCAGUGAAAUGCGUAGAUAUGUGGAGGAACAUCGAUGGCGAAGGCAGCCCCCUGGGUUAACACUGACGCUCAUGCACGAAAGCGUGGGGAGCAAACAGG